GAAUCCCACCACUCAGGAAAUGGAGACAGAGGCAGAUGGAUUCCUUGCAGCCUCAGCUCUCGAAAGAAUCAGCACUUGUCAACGAGUCUUAUUUCCACACCCUCUGAGAGUCAAGCUAACUAAGGAUGCUUUCUUUAAGCCUCAGGGGACUCUGUUACUGUCUUCCAGGCUGUGAGCCUUAAACAAAUAAGAACGAUGGCACCCUCCUGGGUGCUGGAUAUCAAGGACCUGGUGCACGAUACAGAUAUCCAGAGAACUGCUGCAGAGAUCAUCACAUCGUUGAGUGCCCUCAUUUGCUGUGGAUUUAGGAUAUGUAAUUUUAGGAAGAGGGAAUGCUUGAUUCAAGUUCUCUGCUCAAGCAAGAUCAGGAUGUAUGGUGGCAUAUCCACAUGAGGAUUCUGUACUACAGGAAAGACCUAUAGCUAUCCUAUGGGUCAGCAGUUACACAGAGACUGCCCUCCAUGCCCAAGGAAGCAACACUGACCAGUCAAUUUCAAGCACAAAUGAGAAUAAAUAUUUGGGUACCUUUAAGAA